rnacentral:rRNA from 1 species
GCCAGCAGCCAUGUCACCCUGCAACUUACAAUUGGCAGCCCACUGAAGCUCAGUAAGUGUGAGCCUGUUCAGUACCUGGAUGGGAGACCUCCUGGGAAAAACUAAGGUUGCUGCUGGAA